ACAGUGAAAAGAAGGGGAGAGAGCUCUCUGGGGUUUCUUUCACAAGGGGACUAUCCCGUUCAUGAGGACUCAACCUCCUGAUAUCAUCACCUUGGAGGCUGAGCGCUACCAGGAAUAUGAAAAACAACAACAAUAAGAGAAGAGGCAGCUGAAUGUAUUGGGAGGAACAGAGGAUUGGGAAAGAAAAGACCCAGGUUCUAGCACGGGUUCCAAACAGAAGGGCAGGGAAAAGCAAGUAAGGAAGAGAAUUCUCCGAGUGCACAGGGAGCUGGGAUGGCGCGUGCCCGUCUAUAGGGGCAGCUGGGAUGAAACCAGACUGGAGGUAUGUUGAUCGUUACUGAAUCUGGAUGAAGAUACAUGGGGGUUCAUUAC
rnacentral:lncRNA from 1 species